AUUGAACGCUGGCGGCAUGCCUUACACAUGCAAGUCGAACGGCAGCACGGGUGCUUGCACCUGGUGGCGAGUGGCGAACGGGUGAGUAAUACAUCGGAACAUGUCCUGUAGUGGGGGAUAGCCCGGCGAAAGCCGGAUUAAUACCGCAUACGAUCUACGGAUGAAAGCGGGGGACCUUCGGGCCUCGCGCUAUAGGGUUGGCCGAUGGCUGAUUAGCUAGUUGGUGGUGUACAGGCCUACCAAGGCGACGAGCAGUAGCUGGUCUGAGAGGACGACCAGCCACACUGGGACUGAGACACGGCCCAGACUCCUACGGGAGGCAGCAGUGGGGAAUUUUGGACAAUGGGCGAAAGCCUGAUCCAGCAAUGCCGCGUGUGUGAAGAAGGCCUUCGGGUUGUAAAGCACUUUUGUCCGGAAAGAAAUCCUUGGCCCUAAUACGGUCGGGGGAUGACGGUACCGGAAGAAUAAGCACCGGCUAACUACGUG
rnacentral:rRNA from 1 species